rnacentral:rRNA from 1 species
UACGGAGGGUGCAAGCGUUAUCCGGAUUCACUGGGUUUAAAGGGUGCGCAGGCGGAUUUGUAAGUCAGUGGUGAAAGGCUUAAGCUUAACUUGGGAACUGCCAUUGAUACUAUAAGUCUUGAGUGUUGUUGAGGUUUGCGGAAUGGGUCAUGUAGCGGUGAAAUGCAUAGGUAUGACCAGGAACACCUAUUGCGAAGGCAGCAGGCCAAACAAAUAUUGACGCUGAGGCUCGAAAGCGUGGGGAGCAAACAGG